rnacentral:lncRNA from 1 species
CUAUUUUGUGUAGUUCCACACCUUUUUAUAUAUCAUCUUUUGUAUUUUGAUGAUUAGAGUUAUAUGAGUGAUGCAAACGUAUUAAAGAUGUUAAAUGUAAAGGCCUAUUUUGGGAAUAUGUGAUGUAAAAGAAAUGAUGAAAAGUAAACGUAACUUGUGGCUGAAUGCAUGUAUGUGGUUAAAAGUUAAUCAUUGUACUUGUAUAUGGUUUAGUUUAGUACUUUCACAUUUGGCUAUUUCUUGCCCUUGUGCAAGCCAAGUAUAUUUAUGUUUUCGCUAUGCAAUUUAUAUACUUGCUCUGUACUUGUUGUUCAGCCUUGGGCAGACAGGGGAGGUGCUGUCCGUUCGGCGUCUGUUCGACGUGCUCGAACCGGCCAAAUAGGAUCGGGUUGGGUCGGGUUUGGGUUCGAGUUCGGGUCGGGUACAAUCAAAAUCCAUAUCCGAAUCCAUAUCCGUCAGGUUUCUAUUUUUUAUAUCCAUAUCCGAAUCCAUAUCCAUCGGAUAUAUCCGUUUCAUUGAGGUUCGUGUUCGGAUAAAAUUUUGGGUAUCCAUACCCAUUGACAUCCCUAGUCUAGUUCCUGCUUAUAUCUGAACUUGUAUCUAUCCCUGAAAUAACCAGUUCUUAUUUAUAUCCGAACCAAACGCAACCUUAAUGUAAUUGCAUUGAUAUUGACAUUGAUAUUCAUGAUAUAAACUAGUUAAGGAGCCCCCGCGCGAUGCGGCGCGAAGAUAAUACAACCGUAAAUUAAUAAUUAUUAACAUUAAUUUUUUUUCUAUUAUGCAUUAAUAUUUUUAAAUAUUAUUUAUCUCAGUAUUGAAAAAUAAAAAAUUAAAAAAUAAAUUAAAGAAUUAAAUUAAAGUAGAUUUCUUUCUAAAAAUAUUUAAAUCUUAUAUAAAUUAAUCCUUAAAAAAAUUAUGCGGACUCCACAACCCUCCAAAAUAAGGAGAGACAUUUUUUAGUGUUGCCAAUUCAUAUACGUUUUGGGGACUAAAGUGAAAAGCAUGCAAAAUUUAGGAAUCAAAAUUGGCAUGCAAAAAAAAGUUAAAUAGGCGAUAGCAUAAUAAUUUCGUUAAUUCUAAAAUAUGUUUUAACGGUUGCUAUUUUAUCGCGAUAAAAUUAAGAGGUUUGAAAAAAUUUAAGAACAAAAAAAAAUGGUGGAAAGUUUGGAAAG